rnacentral:lncRNA from 1 species
CCCGUUUCUUCUGCAUGUCCCCACUUCCUUAGGAGCCCGGACUCUGCCUCAGGCAGGCUGCCGGCUUUUUGAGCAGGGCGUGUGUGGGCCUCAAGCACCAGCUCCUGGUACGGCUCCUGCUGAUCUCUGCGAGCGUGGCCGCAAGCCUGCUGUCAACCGCACAGGCCCUUAUCUGCCGAGCCCCGGCCCGUGGGGAUUCCAGGACGGCCACGUUCUGGUGAUGUUGCUGCAGAUGCUGCUGGAUUUUUUCAGGAAGAUCUCCUUUGAAUUCGGGAAAUAUUCUGAGGUGUGCUGGAGCAGGCUCGUGCCAGCAGAAAGAGCGGAUUUGUGUGCAUCACUUGCCAAGGCCAGGCUCAGUGACAUGACGUGGUAGUUUGAAAUCCACCGUGGAGGGAGUAUUUACCCCGGGGAAAUCAGCAAACUUUACAAAUCAGGGCUUAUAUAUGUUUGUUUUUUCCCAGAGCACCCACUUACAGCACACCACUGGAAAUAGCCAUUAAAAAAAAAUCCCUCAUGGGCCCACAGCCUGUGCAAUUAGAAUCUUCUCCAUCCCACUCUCCCCAUCUUUCUGGAAGCGCUUGUUGCUAAACGGGAGCAAAACAAAUGUGAAUUAUACACCAUCUUUUGAAGGGACGUCGUUCUUUUCAAUCCUCAUGGAUUGCCUUCCCUUUAUGAGGACUUCCGGUUGAUUCCGCGGGCUGCAGGAUCACUCAGUUCUCCUACCAUCUGAUGUCUCCUUCCUUUUCUUUAUAUCGACUUCUCUGUGGGUUUAUUUCUAACAACCUCAUGAUCCAACAAGCAGUGCUGUCUCUUCACAGUGGUCCUCGAACCCCCAGGAGGAUUGCUAUGAACACAGAUUUCAGGGCCCAGCCUCCAAAACACUCCGUCAGCGGCUCUGGGUUGGGGCCCAGGAAUCUGUAUGUUUAAUCGGCUCCCCAGGUGGCUCUGACAUAGUCAGCCCAGGUCCAGACUGUGGGGUGGCUGACAUUUGGAAACCACUACAAAAACACCUGGGGAUAUACGUUGGGCUCCUCCUCAGCAGCUUCUGAGAGUUAGAACCCAGCCAGGCUGAGGUUGCAGGACUCACUCAGCCUGUUCUGUUUUCCAGGUUGACGGGCGACAUCUGAGGGCUUCUGCUCUGUCAUCCUUCAGCCCACACAUAUGGGGAGUCUCGAU